UGUAUAUAAUAUCAGCCCUGCUGCCCAUGAAGGAUCACAGCCGGUUCCCCCAGCACACACACACAGGCCCUGUUUACAACCAGGACUGAACAACGGGUCUUCACCACCAGGGCAUCAUGGGGAUGUCUCUGGCGAUGCUAAACAGAAUCUGCAGCUCCCUAUCUUAUUUGCACAGUGUGAUGAGGUCAAACACACACACACACACACACACACACACACGGCUCCCCCGCUGUCCGUGCCAGUACGUAGGACUUUAAGCGACCGUAGGCGUGGAUGAUUAACCCGUUCCACUCAUGUCUCUUUAUGGGGACCCAGGACUGGAGCGGGUGGGCGGGGGUCCGCCCAUACGGUGAACCAAGAGCCUGAUUGUGCAGAGGCACACACACACAGAGACACACCCCUGUACACGCAUUCCACCUUAACCCGAGCUGGGAGGCGACCGAGACCCUUCGCCCGCUGCUGUCGUCGACCGGGGAGAUCAAUGCUCGCUCUCCGUUGUUUGAGUUCAUGUUCCGAUUGAUCCCGACUGUUCGAUCAGGCUGACGACCGUGUGGCAUCCCCCUUGGGGGGUCUGAUGAGCUCGGACUGGGACGGCCCGAUGAGGAGACCACCUGUGCGGUUGGCCCGUGUGUGGAGACGCGGAGGCUGCAGGUGGAUCGGGGAUCCGUUGUGUGGCGGUGGUCUGUGGCAGCGCUGCGUUCCUCUGUUGACUCAGCAGAGGGGUCCUGCUACAGGGAGCGUAGGUUAACGCCGUCACCACCAGGGGUUCGAUUCCCGCCGGGGCCUCCCGAUGUGUGCCCGUUCGAUCUCAGGUCGACGCUCCGGAUCAAAGGGAGGGGUAUGACGGCGAGCAUGGGGGGAUGUUUGCUAACGCUGUCGGCGGCGCUGGCGGAAGAAUGAGAUCAAUGGAGGGUUCUGCUGGUUUUUGUGAAACACUCAAAACACAUUAUGUCGCCUGUCAUGGGGGAGCCAUGAGGCCUUUAUCUAUCGGAGGACAAAAAAAGGAUAUUUCAAGAUUUUAAAUUGAAUAAAACUCUAAGUUCAUGAA
ensembl:lncRNA